CAGAUUUUCUUCCUCUUAGCCAAUCAGAUUCCACCUUCACUCUCUUUCUCUUCUUCUUCCUUCUCUUUCGCUAACCUGAGCUCUCUUUCUGUUGCAACACUCAAGAAUGACAUCAAACAUUCACAGAUCGAGACUCAAAAUACCACCAUCGUGAUCCUCUUGUCCUUAUGAUCACAACCAUACCAACUGAUUCUUUUGUGGUUGAGUUUUGAGUGGUCAACGUAGAGUGACUCGGAAGUUCUGACUCGAUUAAGUUGGCAUCAUCAUAAUCCCAGCCGAGUUACAAGGUUUUAGGACGUGGGGAAGCUUUUACUCAACUCCCCAUGGCCAUUAGACUAGCUUUGGAGAAGCGUUGAUGUCAAAACAAGCACGUUUAAGGAGUUGAGCUUUUGUCCGAGACUUUCGAGCCAUUUUUAGGCCAUUUUCCAUCCACUUUUGGACUUUUGGAAGAAAACAUAUGAGUUUUUCCAGUUUCUGGCGAAACCAGAUGGCGGCCAACGGGGUGAUCAGCGAGGACCACUGGAGAAGGCGACAGAAUAUCCUAACGACGUCAGGGGAGACUUACCCCAAGGUUAUACGAGGACAAACGAGACUAAGGGGCUACGAUCCUAUGACAUACUACUUUCGACUCGGGGAGAGAGGGGAGGGGGAUGUCAUGCCUGACAGAUUGGAGAGAGACGAUGACUCAAAAUUUUCACUCGGACACAGCUGGGUGUCGCUGUGUCGAGCGGAGAGAAAGGGGGACAGAGCGACUACAGAGCAGGGAGACACAGGGACUGCAUUUCAGCUUUGACUCGGGGAGAGAGGGGAAGGGGACAUCACGGCUGACGAUUUUGAGAGAGACAGUGGCUCCCAUUUUUGACUCGGAGACAGCUGGGUGUCGCUGUGGCGAGGGAAGAGAGGGGACAGAGCGACUAACAUAGCGCCUGACAGAUUGGAGACGGAUGGGAGCUAGGGAUUUGGACUGAGUGAGAGAAAGAUUUUGCUAGCUCCUCUGCCAGGAUCUAUGGGAUUUUCUCCCAUUUUAUAGAGAGAGAGAUGGACAGGGAGAGAGAUACACAGCGGAAAGCAUGGGUGUGUGUAUUCUUUAGGGUUGACGGGUUACGCACAGAGUCGGUGAGGAGGGCAUGCCUCAGGGACGAAUGGCAGCAUCUGGGUUUUCAUUUUUCUCCCUUGAUUCAAAAGAUCCAGCAAAAGCAUACACAUCAAACCCCUCAUUCACACAACAGCCACCAAAGAGACCAUUACUGAGCUCAACCACCUGCAAGUUUUUGAGAAACAAAGAGCCUCAUCCACAGGAAUCUGUAAUUCAUAGCAGCAGAUCGAAACAAAGUGAAAGCUUUUGACUGUGAAUUUUGCAACUGCUACCUUGCUGCUUUGAUCAAGGUGUUAUUGCAACGUUGUGAUCUGCUCUUCUUGCUGCCUUUCAUCUAGGGAUCCGCACCUAUUGCAUCUGAAUCAAGGCUUUGUUUAGAUUGUGCUCACAUUGUUCAAUCAUAAUCUGCUCUUGCUACUGCCUUUAAUCAAGGGGUUCCGAACCAUUACGUUUCAAUCAACCCUUUGGAUAGAUAAAAUGGUCAAAGAGAUUGAUCGAAGCGAACAACAAAUUCUAGGAGGAGUUUUGGUUAAAAAUUUAAAGGAACUGAUUGAGGCUCGAAACAAUAACAAGAUUCGAAGAAGGAUACAGAUAUAUAGAGAAACUCCCCCAGGACCCAGUACAAAGGAAGAAGUCAAAAUAGAAAAAACAAGGAUGGGUUUGCGUGUUUAUGGUAAGGGUGCAAACCGAAACAAAUUGGUCGUCCACACUAUCCAAUUGCCUGAAAAUCGUAGUAAUUCGCCGAAAGAACAACUUCCGUUGAAUGAAGAAGUUUAACAUAUUUUUUGGCGGGUUUUCGAUGGGAUCUACAAGUUUGGUUGUUGCUACAAAAUUGGAAUUUUGUUGCUCUUUCUUGCCUCCACCGUAACAUCCUUCUAGGUUUUCAAUGUAUAGAGACUUAACGGGUGUUAGAUAAGAUAAACGCCAUGUAAACCUCUUUUGUUUGGUCAUAACAUCAAUAAUGUAAACAAUUAACCCCUUUACCGUUCAAGGAUGAAGUGUUGGCGUGCUAGGAAUAUGUUUCUCUGCUUAUAUAUUUUUUCCAUUUCUCUUUUUCUUGAUAGGAUCAUUUGACUCAUGCUUCUUUGUUGGUUAUACACUAAUAAAACAGUUCUUCUAUUAAUGUUUU